rnacentral:tRNA from 1 species
GUUUUUAUAGUAUAAAAAUUACUUUGCUUUUUCGUGGCAAAAAUGAGACCUUCUAAAAAUA